rnacentral:ncRNA from 7 species
ACUUGUGUAGCUCAGUUGGUAAAACACAAGGCUCUUAACUUUGUGGUUGUGGGUUCAAGCCUCCACGAUGAGCA